GGGCCCGUAGCUCAGCCCGGUAGAGCGGCGGGCUUUUAGCGCGGAGGUCCCGGGUUCAAAUCCCGGCGGGCCCGCCA
rnacentral:tRNA from 1 species